GGCGACGUGGCCCAACGGCAGAGGCAGCGGCUUCAAGUACCGUCAAGUGUGGGUUCGAAUCCCACCGUCGCUAC
rnacentral:tRNA from 1 species